AUUGAACGCUGGCGGCAGGCCUAACACAUGCAAGUCGAACGAGUGGCGGACGGGUGGGUAAUGUAUCGGAAACUGCCCGGUGGAGGGGGAUAACUACUGGACACGGUAGCUAAUACCGCAUAACAUCGGAUAUGCCGAGGUGGGAUUAGCUAGUGGGUGGGGUAAAGGCUGACCUAGGCGACGAUCCCUAACUGGUCUGAGAGGAUGACCAGCCACACUGGAACUGAGACACGGUCCAGACUCCUACGGGAGGCAGCAGUGGGGAAUAUUGCACAAUGGGCGAAAGCCUGAUGCAGCCAUGCCGCGUGUGUGAAGAAGGCCUUCGGGUUGUAAAGCACUUUAAGCGGGGAGGCGUUACCCGCAGAAGAAGCACCGGCUAACUCCGUGCCAGCAGCCGCGGUAAUAC
rnacentral:rRNA from 1 species